CAUAUGUUGACUUGGUUAUCUAAAAGUGCACUUUUCUUUGUUUUAGCCUAGUCAAAAAGCCUGUGAAACACAGUAGACUUAAUAUCUAUUUAUUGUGAAAUUACUACAUUUCCGUAUCAAUCCAUGUUAAUUUUUACCGCGAACAAAGCGCUGUCACUUUAAUUCAGCGCAAGAAAAACAAUGUUGGACAGGCAAAUCACGUGGUCUCGCGAAUCCUACCGCUGCGCUUCUGAUCCGCUUCUGGUGUGAGUUGGCACAGCAUGGAGGAUGCAACAAAACCUCCUCGGAGCCGUAAUGCGCCGCAGACGCGUGCAGUGUAAAUCAGGGGUCAACGAUCGCUGCACUCACAUUAGUACAUAUACGUUAUCAUGUGUGUUCAGUUGUGGCUGACUUCUGUAAGCCAGACUCAGGUUGAGUCAUCGCCGUCAUUCCACGCGUAUUUGGGCCAGAAGAAUGUGGGAGAUGUGGGCCAGAACUGGGCCAGAUGUCAUUUGCCAUCUGGGUAUUAAUUGAUAACAGAAAUUAAUGAAAGAAAGAAAGAAUUCAGACAUAAAUGUAAAUGAAAUGAGAUGACAAUAUAUUAUUCUUAAGUAAAUUAAAAUGAUGGAAAAGGAUUAAAACCAAAAUAAUGUCAAACAAUAGUUGUCACUAAAGAUACUUAAAUUCAAAGUUGAAAUAUACAUUUUAGAAUCAGAAUCACAUAACCUUCAAGUCAGAAAUUCAGAUUUCAUACAUGUAAUAUCAAAAUCAGUUUUUACAAUUCAGUAUUUCAUGCAUACAAAAAAUGUGCACACUAUGCACAGCAUACAUACUGGAUACUGUAGAAAUAGUAUGAUAGUAUGGCAUUUUGAACACUUGAUUUGUCCUUAAUCCAGUUAGUUUUCGUCGUCUUAUAGCUUUCCAGUCUGUUUAAAUGCCUCUCUUUUUCACCAUCCAUUCCCUUAAAGUUUGAGCUUCUAAGGAUAUUUUCGCUUCAAUAAUCUAUUUUUUAGAUUAUUUACAUCAUCUAAUUCGACUCUUUAUUGAAUUGACAAAUUCAAUGUCUUGCAUUACUCUGCGUCUUGCUCGGUCACCCUCUGCUCUCUCGUUCUUUCGCGUUCUUCUCAUUAACUUUUCUUUGAGGCAGAGCUAACCUCCGACCUCAGCCAAUCAAAAUUACUUUGACCAUUUUUUUUCUUUUCUAAAUUUCAAUGUAUAAUUCAAUACAAAACAACUUUAAAAUCAACAUUCUCUUCCAAAUAAUACUAAAUAUAUAUAAACAAACAAACAAAAAAACGUUAUACAUUUUAGUGACCUAGUCAGUGACCUGGGUUAGACUCUCCCCUCCUGAAUGUAUGCAGGUCCCUCUGCAUCUGAGGUUGAACAGUCACAAUGGUAGGUGAACUCUUCCAGGUUCUCGUCCAGCAAAUUUGUAAAUAUUCAGGUCUGACAACAGAGACUGGAUCACCAUACUGCCAAGUCUUUUUGGAGGUUCAUGGGAUCUUUGACUGCAUCUUAGACUUCUUGCAGGUUGAGGUACUUCAUUCUGAUCCAUCAGAGGAUUUCUGGAAAUGGCAAUUUCUUCUUGUGAAGAAUCAUUAUUUCUUCCAUCUUCUCAAUUUGGGUUAUCUGCUGAUUUGUUAUUAUCUGUUGAUUCCGCUUCAUAUUUUCUUUCAAUUUCUCUUUCAGAUCCAUCUACCAGAUCUUCAACAACAGCUUCAACUUCCGAUUCUUUGGUGGAACGGUUUCUGGUUCUGGGUCUCCGAGAGACUUCUUUGGUCCAUCCUUUCCUUCAGUUUGACAGUAAAGACAGGUAAGUCACCAGCCUUCCUAGUUAUAUAUAUAUCAGGUACCCAUUUAUCUGCCAGCUUGUGCUUUCCCCUUAUACAGACAUUUCUCACAAGCACACAGUCACCCACAUUCAAAGCAGAGGCAACAACACGUUGAUCAUACCUCUUUUUGUUACGUGCUGCCACUAUAGAAGCAUUUCCAGUUGUGACCUUGUAGAUCUUUUCCAAUCGUUUUUUGAGGUUUUGCACAUAUUUUGAGUGGGAUUCAGGCAGACUGUUGACUGGUUGCCCGAAAGCCAAAUC